rnacentral:rRNA from 1 species
AGCGAACGCUGGCGGUAUGCUUAACACAUGCAAGUCGAGCGCGAAAGUGACUUCGGUCAUAAGUAGAGCGGCGGACGGGUGAGUAACACGUGGAUAAUCUGCCUUUAGGACUGGGAUAACCCUGGGAAACUAGGGCUAAUACCGGAUAAGACCACAGGUUCCAUGGAACCAGGGGUAAAAGGCGGCCUUCGGGCUGUCGCCGAAAGAUGAGUCCGCGUCCCAUCAGGUAGUUGGUGAGGUAACGGCUCACCAAGCCGAAGACGGGUAGCCGACCUUAGCGGGUGAUCGGCC